rnacentral:lncRNA from 1 species
UUAGAGUUACAGAGACUGCUCAGCAGUUGACAGAGGUGAGUGGAACAGAACUAUGUUUUAAAGUUAAUGAAUGUUUUAGCAUACUUUCAUGCACCAUUGAUGCCAUGUUAUAUAGGAUGUAUUGCAUUGCACUAGUAUUCACUAAGUUGAAGCAUUGCAUAAUUUGAUGUUGAUGUGGAUUGGACCGAGGCGACCCCAAUAGCCCUAUGAAAAGACCUGGCUGGGCCAGGCAUACUGAAAGACCUGUGUGAGCUCCUUCAGGGGGGCCGGGCACUAUACUUGGGUGAGUCCUGUGUGAGCCCUUUCAGGGUCGGGCACCAUGAGCUCAGGGAGUUUUGGUGGUCAUGUCCAAUCCUUGAUGUGAAAUGUUUGUGCUGUGACGCAUUUCAUGAUAGCAUGUUUUAAAUGUUUUUAUGGUUUCCGCUCACUGGGCU